AACGAACGCUGGCGGCGUGCCUAACACAUGCAAGUCGAACGAAACCUUCGGGUCUAUGGGCUCACGGUGUCGUAACCCGUGGGGACCGUCCCUUAUGUUCGAAAUAACUCCCCGAAAGGGAUCCUAAUACCAGAUAGGGUCUUCGAACCAAAGAUUUAUCGCCUUUGGAUGGGCGCGCGUUAGAUUAGAUAGUUGGUAGGGUAAAAGCAUACCAAGGCGUGGAUCCAUAGCUGGUAUGAGAGCCUGAUCAGCCACACUGGGACUGAGACACGGCCGAGACUCCUACGGAAGGGAGGAGUGGGGAAUAUUGGAACAGGGGGGAAAGGAUGAUGAAGCAAUGAGGGGUGAGUGAUGAAGGUAGUGGGGUUGUAAAGUUCUUUUAACCGGGAUGAUAAUGACAGUACCGGGAGAAUAAGCCCCGGCUAACUACGUG
rnacentral:rRNA from 1 species